GGUUAAGCGACUAAGCGUACACGGUGGAUGCCCUGGCAGUCAGAGGCGAUGAAGGRCGUGCUAAUCUGCGAUAAGCGCCGGUAAGGUGAUAUGAACCGUUAUAACCGGCGAUWYCCGAAUGGGGAAACCCAGUGUGAUUCGUCACACUAUCAUUAACUGAAUCCAUAGGUUAAUGAGGCGAACCGGGGGAACUGAAACAUCUAAGUACCCCGAGGAAAAGAAAUCAACCGAGAUUCCCCCAGUAGCGGCGAGCGAACGGGGAGGAGCCCAGAGCCUGAAUCAGCAUGUGUGUUAGUGGAAGCGUCUGGAAAGGCGCGCGAUACAGGGU
rnacentral:rRNA from 1 species